AGCAGUAGCCGCGGUAAUACGGAGGGUGCAAGCGUUAAUCGGAAUUACUGGGCGUAAAGCGCACGCAGGCGGUCUGUCAAGUCGGAUGUGAAAUCCCUGAGCUUAACUUAGGAAUUGCAUUCGAUACUGGGAAGCUAGAGUAUGGGAGAGGAUGGUAGAAUUCCAGGUGUAGCGGUGAAAUGCGUAGAGAUCUGGAGGAAUACCGAUGGCGAAGGCAGCCAUCUGGCCUAAUACUGACGCUGAGGUACGAAAGCAUGGGGAGCAAACAGGAUUAGAUACCCGCGUAGUCCCUGUCUCUUAUAA
rnacentral:rRNA from 1 species